UCCUCGGCGGCACGGGCGAGGCCCGCGCGCUGGCGGCGCGCGCGGCCGGAUGGCGGGUGGUCACGUCGCUCGCCGGGCGG
rnacentral:tRNA from 1 species